rfam:Sporanaerobacter acetigenes DSM 13106 genome assembly, contig: EJ96DRAFT_scaffold00013.13
GUAAGACUCCAAGUAGACCACUUGGUUGAUAGGUCCCAGGUAUAAGGGUAGCAAUAUCCUUAGCUAAGGGAUACUAAUAAGUCGAGGGCUUGACCAA